AUUGAACGCUGGCGGCAUGCCUUACACAUGCAAGUCGAACGGCAGCAUGAUCUAGCUUGCUAGAUUGAUGGCGAGUGGCGAACGGGUGAGUAAUACAUCGGAACGUGCCCUGUAGUGGGGGAUAACUAGUCGAAAGAUUAGCUAAUACCGCAUACGACCCGAGGGUGAAAGUGGGGGACCGCAAGGCCUCAUGCUAUAGGAGCGGCCGAUGUCUGAUUAGCUAGUUGGUGAGGUAAAGGCUCACCAAGGCGACGAUCAGUAGCUGGUCUGAGAGGACGAUCAGCCACACUGGGACUGAGACACGGCCCAGACUCCUACGGGAGGCAGCAGUGGGGAAUUUUGGACAAUGGGCGAAAGCCUGAUCCAGCAAUGCCGCGUGUGUGAAGAAGGCCUUCGGGUUGUAAAGCACUUUUGUCCGGAAAGAAAUGGCUCUGGUUAAUACCUGGGGUCGAUGACGGUACCGGAAGAAUAAGGACCGGCUAACUACGUG
rnacentral:rRNA from 1 species